rnacentral:rRNA from 1 species
AGUGAACGCUGGCGGUAGGCCUAACACAUGCAAGUCGAACGGCAGCACAGUAAGAGCUUGCUCUUACGGGUGGCGAGUGGCGGACGGGUGAGGAAUACAUCGGAAUCUACUUUUUCGUGGGGGAUAACGUAGGGAAACUUACGCUAAUACCGCAUACGACCUACGGGUGAAAGCAGGGGAUCUUCGGACCUUGCGCGAUUGAAUGAGCCGAUGUCGGAUUAGCUAGUUGGCGGGGUAAAGGCCCACCAAGGCGACGAUCCGUAGCUGGUCUGAGAGAAUGAUCAGUCACACUGGAACUGAGACACGGUCCAGACUACUACGGGAGGCAGCAGUGGGGAAUAUUGGACAAUGGGCGCAAGCCUGAUCCAGCCAUACCGCGUGGGUGAAGAAGGCCUUCGGGUUGUAAAGCCCUUUUGUUGGGAAAGAAAAGCAGCAGGUUAAUACCCCGCUGUUCUGACGGUACCCAAAGAAUAAGCACCGGCUAACUUCGUG